AGCCGGGCCUGCCCACAGGAGGCUCACAGCCCAAGAAGGAAAGCAGGCUGGGAAACCAAGUCAGUUCAGGGGUUAGAGCUGCAGUAAAGAGGGGACCAAUGCGCACACUUGUUCAAACUUUAAAAGGAGAUUUGGGGCCCAAGGUAGGCCGGUUGCAUGCUGAGAAGGGUCAGUCCCUUUAAGCAAGGCGCUCUGCUUUGGUGAUCUGUGUGAUUCCUGCCUGGAGCCCAUACCCUGGCAUGGACGCUGUUUCGUGGAAGUGUUGCGUGGCGGAAUCCUUUCCCGCCUCGCUUCAACACUGUAAGCCCCGGGCCUCUUAACCUGUUGCUUCGUGCAGACCUUCUGGCCACCUUAACAGGGAUUCAGCCUCCUCAGUACGCUGAUCAGAAAUAAGAAUAAUAGGGAGACCCUUGUCCUAUACCUCACCCCGAGUUCUUGAAGUCCCUGACCAAGGGCGAAACUAUCCAUAUUCAGUUCCCUCUGCGGGUGCGAAGGUGGAAGGCUGGGGGCCCAGCAAGCAGGUCAGAGGUGAAUCAGGCACCUGAAUCCUGUGAGUCCAAAUGAGCAUCCCAAUGCACCUGGGGAAUAGACUGUCCCAUGUGUAGCCGCCCCACGAACCAUCCCUUGAUACUCCUUGAGAAGUCCCCUCACCUUGAUAAUACAGUGACACUGUGACUGGCUCCUGCCAGUAAGACCCAGUGGAAGGACACUGUGCUAGUUGCAGCCUAAGCCUUGAGAAGCCAGGCAAGUGCGGCACUCUGAGGGAGCCCCGUGCCACCGUGUAGAAUGGUCAGCUACCCUGAUGUGAAAAGCCCCUUGGAGAGGCCACGUGGAAAGGGGGGAACCUCAGCCUCCCGCUGGCCCGCCGCCUGAAUGCAGCCACGCAGUCAUCAGGAAGAGCACCAGAAGAACCGCUAGGCUGAUCCCGGCAGAAGGCAGAGCGUUCUCACAGAGACAUAGGGGACUUCAGAUGGAGAGCGAAAUAUCAGCUCUGUUAUCGGCAGACUGUACCCUGGAAGAGGAAGUUGAAAUGCCUGUGGUCAUGCGGGCUGACAACGAUGACACUACCUUUACCUGGGAGGAACCCGAGCUCUCAGGCUUCCUGAUGGCAUGCUGAUAGAGACGAAGAGAAAAACGCAGGAUGAAAACACGGAGCCUGGCGUGGUGGAGUCCCACAGACCUGCACACAGCUUCUGAUUCUGGCACUUUCCCUUGGUAUUAAGAAGUUGAGCCCGGAGGCUAUCCUUGCUCGUGGAGAGUGGCCCCCACGCUUCAGCUGACACGACUCCCAGCUGAGACGCAGACAAUUCCUGCUGUACUUCCCUCUAUGCGUUUUGGCGGAGAAGCCGGGCAUCAAACGGCCAGAGAGAACGCGCUCUUUCUCGAUGUAGCCGUGAUCGGCCUCAGCAGCCGGACUUCCGGAGCAACGAGAGCACACGCCUCCCUUCUGUACGGG